rnacentral:lncRNA from 1 species
GGGGUUAAUACAAACAAACGGGAAAACAAGGGGUUUGAGUUCAGAGCCAAUGUCAUUAUUCUUUUCAUUGUGUUUGUUCGAAUCUUAUUUCCAAUUCUUUUCUUUUUCAGUUUUUUUCACUCAGUUCCUUCUCCUUUUUUUUCUCUUUAUACCCAACUGAGUGUUUCUCAUUCGGUGAGUGCUUUUCUCGUUCCAUCAAAUUUCUUUUUUUUCUUUUUUUUUCUUUUUUUUUCAAUGGUCGUUUUUUCUUGAUCUUUU